UGAACGCUGGCGGCAUGCCUUACACAUGCAAGUCGAACGGCAGCACGGGAGCAAUCCUGGUGGCGAGUGGCGAACGGGUGAGUAAUAUAUCGGAACGUGCCCAGUCGUGGGGGAUAACGCAGUGAAAGCUGUGCUAAUACCGCAUACGAUCUAUGGAUGAAAGCGGGGGACUCGCAAGAGCCUCGCGCGAUUGGAGCGGCCGAUAUCAGAUUAGGUAGUUGGUAGGGUAAAAGCCUACCAAGCCAACGAUCUGUAGCUGGUCUGAGAGGACGACCAGCCACACUGGAACUGAGACACGGUCCAGACUCCUACGGGAGGCAGCAGUGGGGAAUUUUGGACAAUGGGCGCAAGCCUGAUCCAGCAAUGCCGCGUGCAGGAUGAAGGCCUUCGGGUUGUAAACUGCUUUUGUACGGAACGAAAAGGUCUGCCCUAAUACGGCGGGCCCAUGACGGUACCGUAAGAAUAAGCACCGGCUAACUACGUGCCAGCAGCCGCGGUAAUACGUAGGGUGCGAGCGUUAAUCGGAAUUACUGGGCGUAAAGCGUGCGCAGGCGGUUAUAUAAGUCAGAUGUGAAAUCCCCGGGCUCAACCUGGGACCUGCAUUUGAGACUGUAUAGCUAGAGUACGGUAGAGGGGGAUGGAAUUCCGCGUGUAGCAGUGAAAUGCGUAGAUAUGCGGAGGAACACCGAUGGCGAAGGCAAUCCCCUGGACCUGUACUGACGCUCAUGCACGAAAGCGUGGGGAGCAAACAGGAUUAGAUACCCUGGUAGUCCACGCCCUAAACGAUGUCAACUGGUUGUUGGGAAUUCACUUUCUCAGUAACGAAGCUAACGCGUGAAGUGACCC
rnacentral:rRNA from 1 species